rnacentral:rRNA from 1 species
CACCAGACUCCUACGGGAGGCAGCAGUGAGGAAUAUUGGUCAAUGGGCGGAAGCCUGAACCAGCCAAGUCGCGUGAGGGAAGACGGUCCUACGGAUUGUAAACCUCUUUUGCCGGGGAGCAACGGGGUCCUUGCGAGGGCCCGAUGAGAGUACCCGGAGAAAAAGCAUCGGCUAACUCCGUGCCAGCAGCCGCGGUAAUACGGAGGAUGCGAGCGUUAUCCGGAUUUAUUGGGUUUAAAGGGUGCGCAGGCGGAAGAUCAAGUCAGCGGUAAAAUUGAGAGGCUCAACCUCUUCGAGCCGUUGAAACUGGUUUUCUUGAGUGAGCGAGAAGUAUGCGGAAUGCGUGGUGUAGCGGUGAAAUGCAUAGAUAUCGCGCAGAACUCCGAUUGCGAAGGCAGCAUGCCGGCUCCACACUGACGCUGAGGCACGAAAGCGUGGGUAUCGAACAGGAUUAGAUACCCGCGUA